rnacentral:rRNA from 1 species
GGAAUAUUGGACAAUGGGCGAAAGCCUGAUCCAGCCAUGCCGCGUGUGUGAAGAAGGUCUUCGGAUUGUAAAGCACUUUAAGUUGGGAGGAAGGGCAUUAACCUAAUACGUUAGUGUUUUGACGUUACCGACAGAAUAAGCACCGGCUAACUUCGUGCCAGCCGCCGCGGUAAUACGAAGGGUGCAAGCGUUAAUCGGAAUUACUGGGCGUAAAGCGCGCGUAGGUGGUUCGUUAAGUUGGAUGUGAAAGCCCCGGGCUCAACCUGGGAACUGCAUCCAAAACUGGCGAGCUAGAGUACGGUAGAGGGUGGUGGAAUUUCCUGUGUAGCGGUGAAAUGCGUAGAUAUAGGAAGGAACACCAGUGGCGAAGGCGACCACCUGGACUGAUACUGACACUGAGGUGCGAAAGCGUGGGGAGCAAACAGG